UAUCUGUGUCAUUCACUCCCACCUGAAACCAGAUAAUGUAAUGCUGGAUAAACCACGAGAACCGUCCCUUCAGAGUCAAACUUUUUGACGUGUCCUUCACUACCUCUGAACAAACACGUUUACCCAUUCAGCCUCUGGGUUACAGGGAAUACCAGCUGGCAAUUGGCAUUGAGCCUAAAAGAUGGGUGAGGUCUGUCAGUUCCCUGGAUGAGCAGAUAACACUCUACCCAGAGAUACAGGAGUCCAUUGAGAUGGAGGACCACAGAUCGUUCGUGAGCCUCCUGAAAUGUCUCCUACAUAUGGACCCUGAGCAUAGAAUCACUCAUGAGGAGGCUCUAAAGCACCUGUUCGUCUCCAUGGUCCACCUAGAGGAUGAGAGGGACAGCUUGUAUGUGGACGACUCCCUCGAUAAAAUGAUGGUUGGCUAGAUGGAUGACUUGGAGGAGGAACUAACACCUGACAAACCAAAGAUAUUCUUUUACUGAAGAUGGAAGAUCCAUCGUGACAGGAAAUAGUGGGUUUUUAUAGAAAAUGUAGUUUCUGCUAGUUUUUUAUUCUUGGGAAGAUUUGGACCAGACCCUUUUUUUGGUAACCAUGUUUUCAGAGUACUACAACAGUUUUUUUGAGCAGACUUAUGUUAAAUAGUUUUCUAAUUAUUGCUUGUCCACUGAAAUGUGUCACAUUAUGUAGGUAAUCAGUCAUGUAUGUCAUGGUCCUAGAGAGGAAAACAGUGGUUGCAGCUUUAGCCUGGCAUCUUCUGACUUCCCACAUCCUGAUAGUUUCCUCCCUGUGAGGAAAAUGAAAGGCUUGUUUAAAUAUAGAAGCAGUUUGAUAGUUUAAUUGGCCUACAUGAUGUUUUGUUGCAACUUAUAAUGUUGAAAAUAGAUGUAUUUAAGUGUGCUCCAC